UGGACAGAUUAUUGUAUUCGACUGUAUUCACGACGUGAAAUAGGGGAUUACACUAUUUUUAAAACGGAAAGUUAAUCAAUUAACAUAAUAGACUCCU
rnacentral:pre_miRNA from 1 species